rnacentral:rRNA from 1 species
CCUACGGGAGGCAGCAGUGAGGAAUAUUGGUCAAUGGACGAGAGUCUGAACCAGCCAAGUAGCGUGAAGGAUGACUGCCCUAUGGGUUGUAAACUUCUUUUAUAUGGGAAUAAAAUGUUCCACGUGUGGGAUUUUGUAUGUACCAUAUGAAUAAGGAUCGGCUAAAUCCGUGCCAGCAGCCGCGGUAAUACGGAGGAUCCGAGCGUUAUCCGGAUUUAUUGGGUUUACAGGGAGCGUAGGUGGAUUGGUAAGUCAGUUGUGAAAGUUUGCGGCUCAACCGUAAAAUUGCAGUUGAAACUGGCAGUCUUGAGUACAGUAGAGGUGGGCGGAAUUCGUGGUGUAGCGGUGAAAUGCUUAGAUAUCACGAAGAACUCCGAUUGCGAAGGCAGUUCACUGGACUGCAACUGACACUGAGGCUCGAAAGUGUGGGUAUCAAACAGGAUUAGAUACCCCAGUAGUC